CACGCUGGCGGCGUGCCUAACACAUGCAAGUCGAGCGGAGAGAUUGUCGUAUUUAUAUGACAUGAUCUUAGCGGCGGACGGGUGAGUAACACGUGGGUAACCUGCCUCAAAGUGGGGGAUAGCCUUUCGAAAGGAAGAUUAAUACCGCAUAAGAUUGUAGCAUCACAUGAUGCAGCAAGAAAAGGAGCAAUCCGCUUUGAGAUGGACCCGCGGCGCAUUAGCUAGUUGGUGAGGUAACGGCUCACCAAGGCCACGAUGCGUAGCCGACCUGAGAGGGUGAUCGGCCACAUUGGAACUGAGAUACGGUCCAGGCUCCUACGGGAGGCAGCAGUGGGGAAUAUUGCACAAUGGGCGAAAGCCUGAUGCAGCAACGCCGCGUGAGUGAUGAAGGCUUUCGAGUCGUAAAGCUCUUUGAUCAGGGAUGAUAAUGACAGUACCUGAAAAACAAGCCACGGCUAACUACGUG
rnacentral:rRNA from 1 species